rnacentral:rRNA from 1 species
UGGGGAAUUUUGGACAAUUGGGCGAAAGCCUGAUCCAGCAAUGCCGCGUGUGUGAAGAAGGCCUUCGGGUUGUAAAGCACUUUUGUCCGGAAAGAAAUCCUUGGCUCUAAUACAGUCGGGGGAUGACGGUACCGGAAGAAUAAGCACCGGCUAACUACGUGCCAGCAGCCGCGGUAAUACGUAGGGUGCAAGCGUUAAUCGGAAUUACUGGGCGUAAAGCGUGCGCAGGCGGUUUGCUAAGACCGAUGUGAAAUCCCCGGGCUCAACCUGGGAACUGCAUUGGUGACUGGCAGGCUAGAGUAUGGCAGAGGGGGGUAGAAUUCCACGUGUAGCAGUGAAAUGCGUAGAGAUGUGGAGGAAUACCGAUGGCGAAGGCAGCCCCCUGGGCCAAUACUGACGCUCAUGCACGAAAGCGUGGGGAGCAAACAGGAUUAGAUACACUGGUAGUCCACGCCCUAAACGAUGUCAACUGUUGUUGGGGAUUCAUUUCCUUAGUAACGUAGCUAACGCGUGAAGUUGACCGCCUGGGGAGUACGGUCGCAAGAUUAAAACUCAAAGAAAUUGACGGGGUCAUAGC